ACGGGUGCAGGGGAUUACCAGGUAAAACUACGCAACCUGGUACGUUUCCUUAGUGAUGGGGACAAGACCAAGGUAACCAUGCGGUUCCGCGGUCGUGAGCACGCACAUCGCGAGCUGGGGCUGGAACUCCUGCAGCGGGUGGAAGCCGAUUUGGCCGAAUAUGGUCAGGUGGAGCAGAAACCGGCGAUGGAAGGCCGCCAGAUGGUGAUGGUGCUGGGUCCCAAGAAAAAGUAACCAAAAAGGCAGGCCCAAUAGUGGGAUCCCGCCACAAAUUGCGGAGUUGAAGCAAUGCCAAAAAUCAAGACCAAUCGUGGUGCCGCGAA
rnacentral:sRNA from 1 species